GUAGGGACAGGUUCUCCCUCUGGCUCAGGCUGGUCUUGAACUCCUGGCCUCAAGCAAUCCUCCUACCUCAUCCUCCCAAAGUGCUCGGAUUACAGAUGUUUCUAAGCAUCUUGCAUGCGAAUGGAGUGAGACUUGAAAAGCCUGGGAAGCGCCAGUCUCAGUCUUGGGAACUCAUUUUGGGAAGACAAGUCCAGCCUACAUGAGCAGAAUGAGAGAGAAGAUGGAUAAUCCUGAUAUGGGGUGCAGGGAGUCCUAGGCCUAUGGAAAUCUAUAGCUCCUGCUUCAACUCCCAGACUGCAUGCAACAAGGAAGUUGUGCUUCCCAAAGGAAAAAGGAAGCCAGAGCCAGAGCCCAUUCUGAGCAGAGAUGGAUCCUGUCUUGAAAGAGAAGGAAGUUCAUCUCACCCAUCAGAAGCAGAGUCUCACUGUGGGAAGGUGGCAACUACAGUCUCUCCUGGCCAUCCCAUGAGGACCCUGGGCUCCUGCAUUAAUUGGCAUUUUCUAAAUCAUUAAUAAAGUUGAAAAUCUUUUUACU